GGAAGUUGGCUCAGUGGUAGAGUCCUUGCCUUGCAUGCAUGAGGUCCUAGGUUUGAUUCCUCAGAACCUCUA
rfam:Dipodomys ordii contig_46717, whole genome shotgun sequence.